CGUGGGUGUGACAACACGACACUGAGUGUGGCAACACUACGUUGGGGGUAACAAUGCUACACUGGGUGUGACAACGCUACGCUGAGUGUGAUGACACUACGUUGGGUGUGACAGUGGUACGUUGGGUGUGACAACACUACGUUGAGUGUGACAGUGCUACGUCGGGUGUGACAACGCUGCGCUGCGUGUGACAACACUCCGUGGGCUGUGACAGUGCUAUGUCGGGUGUGACAACACUACGCUGAGUGUGACAACACUCCAUCGGGUGUAACGGUCCUACGGCGGGUGUGACAACACUGCGUCGGGUGUGACAACACUACGAUGGGUGUAACAGUGCUGCGUCGGGUGUGACAACGCUACCUCAGGUGUGCCAACACUGCGUUGGGGGUGACAGCGCUACGCCGGGUGUGACAGCACUGUGUUGGUUGUAACAACACUACAUCGGGUGUGAUUACAUCGGGUGUGACAACGCUGUGUUGGUGUGUCAGCUCUGUGGUGGUGGUCACAGCACUACAGCGGGGUGUGGCAACACUACAUGGGGUGUGACAGUGUGACAUUGGGUGUGACAACACUACAUGGGGUGUGACAACACGACAUUGGGUGUGACAGUGCUACACUGGGUGUGACAACACUGUGCCAGGUGUGACAACGUGACAUUGGGUGUGACAACACUACAUUGGGUGUGACAGUGCUACAUUGGGUGUGACAACACUGUGCCGGGUGUGACAACACGACAUGGGGGGUGACAACACUACAUUGGGUGUGACAACACUGUGCCAGGUGUGA
rnacentral:lncRNA from 1 species